rnacentral:rRNA from 1 species
UUAACAAAAACAUGUCCUUUUGAUUUUUAUUUAAGGUCUAAUCUGCUCAAUGAUAUUUAAAUUGCCGCAGUAUUUUAACUGUGCGAAGGUAGCAUAAUAAUUAGUUUCUUAAUUAGGAGCUGGAAUGAAUGAUUGGACGAGAAAAUUUCUGUCUCAUUUUAAUGUUUUAUUGAAUUUUAUUUUUAAGUUAAAAAGCUUAAAUUUUUAUAAAAGACGAGAAGACCCUAUAGAGUUUAAUAUUAAAAUUUAAUAAUAUUUUAGAAACCAAUUUUAGUUUUUAGUAUUUAGUUGGGGUUACUUGGAGAUUUACUAAAUUCUCUAAAUUUUUAAUUGAUGAUAUUUAAUUUUUUAAUCUAUAAAUUAUAAAUUUAAAAUUAAUUACCUUAGGGAUAACAGCGUAAUUUUUCUUGGAAGUUCUUAUUUAAAGAAGAUUUUGCGACCUCGAUGUUGGAUUAAAAUAAAUUUUUGGUGCAGUUACUUAAAAAUUAGGUCUGUUCGACCUUUAAAAUUUUACAUGAUCUGAGUUUAAACCGGUGUAAGCCAGGUUGGAUUCUAUCUUUAGAAAAUUAAUACAUUUUAGUACGAAAGGACCAAGUGUUUAUUAUAUAUUAAUUG